CAAGAUGGUUGUGCGGUGGUAGCAACAUUAGCUUCUGCUCAUUCAGCACUCCAAAAGUCUGACAGUGAUGUGAAGGCGAUUAAAAAGCAGGCGGAGAAUCUGACCGUGGAGUAUGAUCGCCUGCUGGAGGAGCACUCCAAUUUACAGGCGUCGUUUGACUCUCAGCAUGAUAAGAAGUCGGACUGAUGGAGGUGACGCCCUGCUGCCCGCCUGCCUCACCUCUUCCUCCACGACACCAGGUCCACGCAUCACUUCCUGUCGCUGGAUUGUUCUGUACAGGAUUGAGGAGCGAUCCCAUCCUGUAUGUCUAAUAAUGCUGCUCUCGGUGUGUCACCGAGGAAGUUGUAACGGUGACAGUGCCGCUAGUGUUGCCUUGAGUGUAAUAGGCUGCAGAGCGAUGCCAAGGAGCAAUCUGUUCGACACAACCAGCCAAACUCUGAUUGCGAUCCAUGUCUUGUUGCUCAAAAUUUAAAGUUUGUACUGUACAGUUUCUAAUGAGGAAUGAAGGUACUUCCUGUACUCUAAACUGCUGGAAGUUUACAACCAUAUUUGGGCUGGUAAAUAACCCAGGGGUGUAAUAAUGGUGUCAUCCAUCUCAUCUACUGCUGGUUUAUUUGCUGGAUAUUUAAUCCUGGCUCUCAGACGAUUUUUUUUUUUCGGACUCUACUUACCGACAUAGCAGCUGGAAAAGUGAAAAUAAUGUGUACUUUCUUUUUUUAAUGUGCUUGUGUAUAUAAGUGCGCACAAUACUAUACUCAUACGCCGAUCCGCCAUAACAUAAUGACCGCCUGCUUAAUAUUGUUUUGGUCCCCUUUUGCUGUCAAAACAGUCCAGAUCUUUAACAGCAUGAACUCCUUCAGCAGUUUGAGCUACAGGAGCUCGUCUGUUGGAUCGGACCUCACGGAAGAGCCUUCGCUUCCCAAAUGUAUCAACGACCUUGUCGCCGUUUCACCACUGUUCUUUCCUUGGAGCCGGUACUCAGUCGUGACCUGGUGGUUGAGGACAUCUGUGAGGCACCAUGAAAGUCUUCUCAUGUCCCAGCUUGAUAGAAAACUGGGGUCAGAAUCAUUGUUAGCCAUGAUACAGAGGGUUAAGGGUCCUGUUUUCUGGUAUGAACCCCCAACCUUCUGAUCAGUAACUCAGAGCUUUAACUAUUGAGCUUCCAAUUCCCCAAAGUUCUUCCCCUCAAAAUUCCAAGUUGCUUCAUUUGUCUUCUUGAGGACAAAGUUUCAACCCAAAACUGUAUCCUGUCCCCAUUUUUAAAAACAUAGAACAGAUAAAUGAGUAAAACAAAAGGGAUAAUUUCUUAUACCGAGUUUAUUCCACCAGAGAUGGAAAGACUGGACCAACCCAAAUUGGCAAACCGUUUCUUCGUCCAAGCCAUUCAUCUGUCUAAAAUGGAAAAUAAAUAUUUACCCUACAGAACGAUACCGAGCUGUUCAAGCUUUCAACAAUGAACGCCAUAGUGAGUUUGUUUGUUUACCCGUUGGACGCGUCCUUCUUGUUCGCGGAGCAUAGGGCGUUCUGUUUUUGGAAGCUUAUUUUCAUCAUCUGUAGUGUUACAGGGGAGACUCUGAAUUGAGUAGGAGAUGCUACGGAGCACAGACAGGCCUCCGCUGUAUUAUUAAAAUAACCGAAGAGAGAAAGUACGAUGCGGUACUGAAGAGAUACAGUGUACAGUCUCGUACAUUAAAUACAGAUAUAUUUUUUCUAACGUCGUUCCACAUUUAGUCUCCUUUUUUGCUCUUAUAGUAACCCUCACUCUUUCAGAAAGAUGUUCCACUAGAUUUUGGAGAUUUGUGGAGACACAUAGAGUUAGUAGCAUUACCGAUGGAGGUGAGGUGAGGCGAGGUCUAUAGCAGG